AUUUAGCACAGGUAGUGAGUUUUCUCACUUGAUUGUUCACAGUCAGUUACAGAUUGAACUCCUUGUUCUUCUACUUUCCCCCUUCUCACUACUGCACUCGACUAGUCUUUA
rnacentral:Y_RNA from 1 species